UGUUGGUGUAUUGGUGCAAGGAUCCUUCCAUCGAAAUCUGAACGCUGGAAUGCCGCUUCUGCGCAGCAGUACCCGCGAGCAGAGGUUGUGUGAGAUAUCGUCGCUGAUUUCGUCCUGCCUGACAAAACCAAACUAGCAUCGCGAUAACAAAGGAAAACCUCCGUGGAAGUUUGGAAAUUUUGUUGACGAAGCUCGGUGCGCUGCGAAGCAGCCAGUCGAACUCCGCUGAGUUGGUUCAAGUUUGAGUGAUGGUUUUAGAGUAGUUUGAAGGAAGUUGUGAGGACGUGAAGUGGGAGAUUGUUUGAACCGCGGAUCGACCUGUUUUGGGGUUCCAAGUUCAAGGGGAUGAAAAAGUCAGCUGGUUCCAGUGUGGAAGAGCAUGAAAUGUUGCCCCCCAGUUAGCUGUGUGUGAGUUCCGAGUCUAGAAUCAGUCUUUUUCAUUUAGCCGCAGUACAACGCAUCUUCCAGUGCUUCGGGGGGUCUUGUUGAAGCCGUGUUCAAGUGAUGUUCAAAUUGGCCAAGUGAUAGUGCGCGAUCAGAUGGUAGUGCUUUCGAUUGAAUACGCUCGAGCAUUUCCGCAACUACGCGCUACACCGAGAGAGUAAAGUCCGUGAAGUGAAAUUUGUGUGCAAGCAUCAGGGCUAUCAACGAGCAAGUCGAUGGGGUGUCCAGCGCGUUAGAGCCCGGGGUCGGUCACAAUGACAACGUUCACGACGACGACCUGGUUACGAGUUAGAAGUGCUAGCUCGUCGCUACCCCUCAUCGGUGCGGCAGAAUAGAAUUUGCAGCAGCGCGACGACGAAUUGGAGUGAAUUUCGUGUGCCGCUGGUGAAGACGGUCAAAGUGAGGAAGCAGUGGAAGCAGUGGCAACAGCAACAACAGCACGGCGCGGCAACAUUCGGGUGGUGAAAAAUGUUUCUAAAAUGUGGAUUAAUCGUCGUUUUCACUCUUCUCGUCAUCGACAUCGAAAGUGGUGAGUACACGCUAUAUGGGGAAGGAGG